rnacentral:rRNA from 1 species
UACGAAGGGGGGCUAGCGUUGUUCGGAAUCACUGGGCGUAAAGGGCGCGUAGGCGGCUUUUCAAGUCGGGGGUGAAAGCCUGUGGCUCAACCACAGAAUUGCCUUCGAUACUGUUAGGCUUGAGACCGGAAGAGGUGAGUGGAACUGCGAGUGUAGAGGUGAAAUUCGUAGAUAUUCGCAAGAACACCAGUGGCGAAGGCGGCUCACUGGUCCGGUUCUGACGCUGAGACGCGAAAGCGUGGGGAGCAAACAGG